ACUGUGCAAAGGUAGCAUAAUCAUUUGUCUCUUAAUUGGAGGCUUGUAUGAAUGAUUGGACGAGGUAGGAGCUGUCUCAUUAUUAUAAUUAUAAUAAUUUAGCUUUUUAGUUAAAAGGCUAAAAUUUUUUUGGAGGACGAGAAGACCCUAUAGAUCUUUAUAAUAUUUAAUUUACUUUUAUUUUGGUUAAAAAUUUUUUAGUACAUUAUUAAUUAUUUUGUUGGGGUGACAUGAAAAUUUAUUUAACUUUUCAUUUAUUUAAACAUGAAUUAGUGAAUAUUCGAUCCAUUUUUAGUGAUUGUAAGAAUAAGUUACCUUAGGGAUAA
rnacentral:rRNA from 1 species